AGCGCCACACACCAACAAAACAAGCAACAGGUGAACCCUCCGUCACCAACUUACUUUUCUCACCCACGACGUCGACGAUGUCGCGACCUGCCCGUCCUCGUCCGAGGCGGCUCGUCUCAAAUCCAUGCUCCAGCGUAGUCUCGGAUCCAGACGCACCCGGUGACAAUCUCGGGCUACGCCCGCACGCGCUGCGCCACGGUCGAGGCAGUGGUCGGCCUGGAUGUCGCGCGUGCCACAACUGUGUAGGACCUGGUGCGCGGCGCUGUCGCCGCUAACGGCCGGCUCCGGCGCCUCGACGGCUUCGCGAAAGCAAAGGUGAGGACGGUUCGCCCUCCAUCCCCUGUCCCAACGUCUACGUGACCCAGCACACCAAUGCCGCGAAAUCCCAAGAUGAGGCGCCGCGAUGACUUGCCCACACUCCCUCAAACUCCAUUGUGCCACCGCGAGCCACCAGGCCCACCACCAGGAGCCCCCUGCCCCUCCCCCUGAAACGUCGUCGCCGUGAUGGUGCAGCUCAGAUCGUUAUCCCCUUACCUCGCUCAAAUGCCAUCGCGGUGCCUGCGCGUGUCGUCGCCAUGCCUGCUUCCCCUUUCCCAGAAACACCUUGACAGUCAAAACAAUAUUGAGCAGACCAUGGUCAUCAAGAACACUGGCACACUCGAUAGCGAAUUCUGAGUAACUGCCAGGAUAAGGUGGCCAUGAAUGGACUGUCAGAUUGGACGCCAGGGGCUUGACCAUUAAUGGGGUGUUGCCAGAGUGGAUUUGGUAAAUUGUGUUUUGGACGAGAUCUUUCUUGAUCUGCAAGAUGAGGACUAGAAGACAAACCUUGGUCCAUUAUGAGUAGCAGUCCAAAAGGAUUUGUUUGGUAAAUACUUGGCCUUCAGAAUGGUGGGGAGGGAGAAUUUUUUUGUUUGUUGCAAUGUUCUUUCCUCUUAGUCUUUCCUCUCAGACCAAAAAAAUUUGAGCAUAUAUAGACUCAGAAUUAUUAUUUCUCUUUACAUCGAGCAUUUCCAUGCAACUAUGGUGUGUGUGUGCAUAUAUAUGCGUACAAAUAUAUAAGAUCCACUUUACUUCAUUCGUCCAAAUUAAAGCAAGAAUUAGCUCUUACAACCAUAUAGCUAUAUAUUCCAAACUAGCACAUAUUUCCUAUGAGAAACAAUAUACUGAUACAGAGGAGAGUAGGAUUGGUUAGUAUAUCAAGUAGUGAUAAUCUUGCAUCAUACAAGUGCUUGCAGCUAAAUACCAUAAGCAUGUCCUAAGCAUAUUUAAGGAUGAGAAAAUACUAACAAUACCAUCGGAUACCUUCAUACUGCUUAUUAUCAAUUGAAACCAUGGCUGGCAGCUCCAUACAAGUAUGGCAGCAACACCGAUGAGAAGAACAGAUUUAAUCCAUUAUCACCAAUAGCCUCCAGUCCUCCACAGGAGCACUAUCUAUUCUUGAAAGAGUGGAACCUCUUAUUGUCCCUCACAAUAAGCUCUCUCCUAACAAUCCUGGACACGAUAUUGAUGGGAUUGUGGCAGUCACCACAUUUCCUCAGGUUCUUAAUGACACCAAGUGGAGUCCUCGCCGGAGUGCUAAUCAGACCAUAAGCAAUUACCAGCCUCUCGCUAUGGUACAAUAAUGCAAAAUCCUUGGCCUCCUGUUCAAUGCCAAGGAACACAUAUCUUACGUCUGGACAUACAUCUGUUCAUUGACCACCUUCUUUUCAAUCUUUGAUGGCAGCGUGUACACUACUAGCUUGGUCCUCCCAUCAACCAUGUUAAUUCCCAGGUGCCUCUUGGGAGGUGGGGUUGGGAGCUUCUUAUGGUUUGCAUUGGAUGGAUGAAGCAACACCAAUAACUCAUCUUCCCUGUUGGUGGCGGCAUGUAUUCUGCUACUUUAAACCAUGUCACAUUGAUGCAUCCCUACCACCAUUCUUAUCUGUCAUAAAUAGAAAUUCUCCUCCAUACAUAUUAAAUUUGUAGUCUAGAUUUUUACUCUGUAGACGACUCUUAACCUUAUGUGGACUAUUAAUAAUGUUGCGCGAUGCCGAUUGUUUAAUAACCCGUAUUGUUGUGCAUGAGAAGCUAUCAUUUUCCAAAAUGUUCGUUUGCAUACAGAGUAGUGCCUCUUAUCAAUUUUGUAAAUUACAAUUAGGUAAUUCUUUAGUAUUUCUUAAAUAAAAAACGUCUUAUGGGUUACAUAUUGUAGCUCUCCUUCCGACCACACUGGUUUGAUCUAUUUUAGAUUAGUCAAUUGACAAGUCUUAAGAAUACAAAAUUAGAUUAUAUAUAAUAUCUAAGUAAAAUUUAAGAAUUUAGAAUGGAAUUUUAUAUCGCGCGCAGGGCGCGCGACAUACACUAGCAGUUUAUUUAAAGAAGAAACAGAUCGCCUGCUUGGCUUGGCUGCUUGCUUCCUCCCUUUUGCCUCCCUCCUCGAGUCCCCGGCGGCAGCGCGCUCUUCCGUCCUCACAGCCCUUCUCCUCCACCGUUCUUGGCUUCUUGUCAUCGCCACACACCUCUCCUCUUCUCAAGAAGGGCCACCAACAAAAUGCCUGCCCACGGCCACCAUCGCUGGCUCUUCCUCCCGAUCUGCUGCCCAAGCUUCGCGGCCGGCGCCGAGCCGUCGUCGUCCCAGUCUGCUGCAUGCUCCACGGGGCGCCUCUGCUGGAUGACCAGGAAGAAGAGGAAGCGGCUGAAGCCUCGUCGUCGUGCUAGCGUCGGCUGCGAGGAGCGCUUAGGUGCUGCUCUCUGAUUGAUUGACGCUAUCCUCGUCGAGCUUCUUCUUCACCGUCGUCGUUGUGUUUAAUUAAUUACAUAUAUAUAUCUCUUCACUCUUCUUCUUGAUCUUGCAAGACUUUUUAGUUUAAGAUAAAUCUGCACCCAUUAUCUUCCUUUUCCAUAUGGCUAUACCUCUUCCUCCCACGUCCAUCAGUUCUCGUAUCUCUCCCGUCCCCGUCUAUCCCUCUUGAGCUUAAUUGGCACGCUGCCAGUAGCUGCCUGCGACUCCUACAGUCCUACGUACGUAUCUUCGUUCGUUUGAGCUGUUGCCUGUUGGUCGUUGUGUCGGUGCUGCUGUGCAUUGUUUCGUUCCUUUUUCAGCUACUUUAGCAUGAGCAACUCUGUUAUUUGCUGUAAUGAAGCUGUGUUUUCUGGUGUAAUUUCCUUAUUGUCCAUGUAAUAAUAAUGAUGAGAGUGAAGCUUGUGAUGUGUUUCAGUGUCAUUGCAUGCAUUGCCAGAUCUCUGUACAACUCUUCGAUCUGCUGCAGUAUUCAUGAUCCAACUUGGGAAUAAUGAAAGAACAGCGUUGAGCUGUUCCUUGUUGACAGUGACACAGCAGCAACGCAAUGAAGGCAUCAGAAACACAGUGGCGCAGGCAGGGUGUCCAAACGUACGUAGCAGAAAGAGAGUAUGCACUCGUUUUGCCGGUGUCGCUUGAACAUUCAUGGUUAUUCAUGAAUGCACCAGUAGUUUUAUCAACACACCUGUCCACAAGAGCAAACUCUCUUUCGGACAGUACGUGGCAGCUGUGAAGAAAUGGUUGCAGAUAGUUUAUAUCAGACUUAGCUAUAUACAUGUACAGAUAUAC